rnacentral:rRNA from 1 species
AUGAACGCUGGCGGCGUGCUUAACACAUGCAAGUCGAACGAAGCACUUUAAUUGAUUUCUUCGGAAUGAAGUUUUUGUGACUGAGUGGCGGACGGGUGAGUAACGCGUGGGUAACCUGCCUCAUACAGGGGGAUAACAGUUGGAAACGACUGCUAAUACCGCAUAAGCGCACAGGAUUGCAUGAUCCAGUGUGAAAAACUCCGGUGGUAUGAGAUGGACCCGCGUCUGAUUAGCCAGUUGGCGGGGUAACGGCCCACCAAAGCGACGAUCAGUAGCCGACCUGAGAGGGUGACCGGCCACAUUGGGACUGAGACACGGCCCAAACUCCUACGGGAGGCAGCAGUGGGGAAUAUUGCACAAUGGGGGAAACCCUGAUGCAGCGACGCCGCGUGAGCGAAGAAGUAUUUCGGUAUGUAAAGCUCUAUCAGCAGGGAAGAAGAAUGACGGUACCUGACUAAGAAGCACCGGCUAAAUACGUGCCAGCAGCCGCGGUAAUACGUAUGGUGCAAGCGUUAUCCGGAUUUACUGGGUGUAAAGGGAGCGCAGGCGGUACGGCAAGUCUGAUGUGAAAUCCCGGGGCUCAACCCCGGUACUGCAUUGGAAACUGUCGGACUAGAGUGUCGGAGGGGUAAGUGGAAUUCCUAGUGUAGCGGUGAAAUGCGUAGAUAUUAGGAGGAACACCAGUGGCGAAGGCGGCUUACUGGACAGUAACUGACGUUGAGGCUCGAAAGCGUGGGGAGCAAACAGGAUUAGAUACCCUGGUAGUCCACACCGUAAACGAUGAUUACUAGGUGUUGGAGGAUUGACCCCUUCAGUGCCGCAGUUAACACAAUAAGUAUUCCACCUGGGGAGUACGGCCGCAAGGUUGAAACUCAAAGGAAUUGACGGGGGCCCGCACAAGCAGUGGAGUAUGUGGUUUAAUUCGAAGCAACGCGAAGAACCUUACCAAGGCUUGACAUAUACAGGAAUAUUUAAGAGAUUAAAUAGCUCUUCGGAGUCUGUAUACAGGUGGUGCAUGGUUGUCGUCAGCUCGUGUCGUGAGAUGUUGGGUUAAGUCCCGCAACGAGCGCGACCCCUAUUCUUAGUAGCCAGCGGUUCGGCCGGGCACUCUAGGGAGACUGCCAGGGAUAACCUGGAGGAAGGUGGGGAUGACGUCAAAUCAUCAUGCCCCUUAUGACUUGGGCUACACACGUGCUACAAUGGCGUAAACAAAGGGAAGCAAUCCCGCGAGGGGGAGCAAAUCUCAAAAAUAACGUCUCAGUUCGGACUGUAGUCUGCAACUCGACUACACGAAGCUGGAAUCGCUAGUAAUCGCGAAUCAGAAUGUCGCGGUGAAUACGUUCCCGGGUCUUGUACACACCGCCCGUCACACCAUGGGAGUUGGUAAUGCCCGAAGUCAGUGACCCAACCGCAAGGAGGGAGCUGCCGAAGGCAGGACUGAUAACUGGGGUG